rnacentral:rRNA from 1 species
UACGUAGGUGGCAAGCGUUGUCCGGAUUUACCGGGCGUAAAGAGCGCGCAGGCGGUCGUUCAAGUCGCGUGUGAAAGCCCCCGGCUCAACUGGGGAGGGUCACGCGAUACUGAUCGACUCGAAGGCAGGAGAGGGUAGUGGAAUUCCCGGUGUAGUGGUGAAAUGCGUAGAUAUCGUGAGGAAUACCAGAGGCGAAGGCGGCUACCUGGACAAUUGCUGACGCUCAGGCACGAAAGCGUGGGGAGCAAAAGGG